rnacentral:rRNA from 1 species
AUUGAACGCUGGCGGCAGGCUUAACACAUGCAAGUCGAGCGGAGACUUCGGUCUUAGCGGCGAACGGGUGGAGUAAUACCUAGGAUCUGCCUAUUAGGUGGGGGAUAACGAAUCGAAAGGUUCGCUAAUACCGCAUACGUCCUACUGGAGGAAAGGGGGGAUCUUUGGACCUCUCGCUAAUAGAUGAGCCUAGGCCGGAUUAGCUAGUUGGUAGGGUAAGGCCUACCAAGGCGACGAUCUGUAGCUGGUCUGAGAGGAUGGCCAGCCACACUGGAACUGAGACACGGUCCAGACUCCGUACGGGAGGCAGCAGGUGGGGAAUAUUGGACAAGUGGGGGCAACCCUGAUCCAGCCAUGCCGCGUGUGU